UACGUAGGGUGCGAGCGUUGUCCGGAAUUAUUGGGCGUAAAGGGCUCGUAGGCGGUUUGUCGCGUCGGGAGUGAAAUCCACUGGCUUAACUGGUGGCUUGCUUUCGAUACGGGCAGACUGGAGGUAUGCAGGGGAGAACGGAAUUCCUGGUGUAGCGGUGAAAUGCGCAGAGAUCGGGAGGAACACCCGUAGCGAAGGCGGCACUCUGGGCCGAUACUGACGCUGAGGAGCGAAAGCGUGGGGAGCGAACAGG
rnacentral:rRNA from 1 species